UGUAGGCGUAUACCAAAGUUGUUGCAGUUAAAACGCUCGUAGUCGGAAUUUGGCAGUUCCGGAUGUGUGCACGUCGUGUGCGCGCUUUGCGGGAAUUGCUUUUGUGUGUUCGCGUCGGAUGAGGCACGUUUAUUCGUGAACGUCCGCACGCUGCCACUUUUUACUGUGAGAAAAUCAGAGUGCUCAAAGCAGGCAUUUGCCGUGGAUGUAUUAGCAUGGAAUAAUAGAAUAGGACUCGGUUCUAUUUUGUUGGUUUGUUGGGACUGAGUAAUGAUUAAGAGGGACAGUUGGGGCAUUUGUAUUUCGGCGCUAGAGGUGAAAUUCUUAGAUUGCCGAAAGACAAACUGCUGCAAAAGCGUCUGCCAAGGAUGUUUUCAUUGA
rnacentral:rRNA from 1 species